GAUGAACGCUGGCGGCGUGCCUAAUACAUGCAAGUCGAACGCUGGAAAUCUAGCUUGCUAGAUUGAAGGAGUGGCGAACGGGUGAGUAAUACAUAAGCAACCUACCCACGAAGACUGGGAUAAUCUCUGGAAACGGGGACUAAUACCGGAUAGGUAAUCGGAAGGCAUCUUCUGAUUAUUAAAGGUUAAAAACACUGGUGGAUGGGCUUAUGGCGCAUUAGUUAGUUGGUGAGGUAACGGCCCACCAAGACGAUGAUGCGUAGCCGGCCUGAGAGGGUGAACGGCCACAUUGGGACUGAGACACGGCCCAGACUCCUACGGGAGGCAGCAGUAGGGAAGGUUCGGCAAUGGGGGAAACCCUGACCGAGCAACGCCGCGUGAGUGAGGACGGCCUUCGGGUUGUAAAGCUCUGUUGUAAGGGAAGAACGGUAGAUAGAGAAUAUCUAAAUGACGGUACCUGACCAGAAAGCCACGGCUAACUACGUG
rnacentral:rRNA from 1 species